GAUGAACGCUGGCGGCGUGCUUAACACAUGCAAGUCGAACGGGAUCCAAGGGGUCUUUGCCCUUUUUGGUUAGCGUGGCGCACGUGUGAGUCACACGUGAGUAACCUGUCUUUUUCUUUGGUAUAAUCAUUCGACAGGGUGUUUAAUACGUUAUGUUCUUUCUGCCUCGCAUGGGGUGGGUGGGGACGGCUUUGGCCUGACUUGUGUGGGCUCGCGUUCUAUCAGCUUGUUGGUGUGGUGAUGGCUUACCAGGGCUUUGACGGGUAGCCGGCGUGAGAGGGUGGUCGGUCACAGUGGGACUGAGGAACGGCACGGAAGCCUGCGGGAGGCAGCAGUGCGGGAUAGUGGACAGUGGGAGAGAGCCUGACGCAGCGACGGCGCGUGGGGGAUGAAGGGUUUAGGGUUGUAAUCAUCUUAUGCCAUGAACGAAGGAUGCCAGGCAGUGUGUGGAGGGUAGGGGUUGAAUAGCGCCGGCUAACUACGUG
rnacentral:rRNA from 1 species